GUGAGGACACUGAGCUGCGGUGAGGACACUGAGGUGCAGUGAGGACACUGUGCUGCAGUGAGGACACUGAGGUGCAGUGAGGACACUGAGGUGCAGUGAGGGCACUGAGCUGCAGUGAGGGCACUGAGCUGCAGUGAGGACACUGAGGUGCAGUGAGGACACUGAGCUGCAGUGAGGACACUGAGCUGCAGUGAGGACACUGAGCUGCAGUGAGGACACUGAGCUGCAGUGAGGACACGGAGCUGCAGUGAGGGCACUGAGCUGCAGUGAGGACACUGAGGUGCAGUGAGGACACUGAGCUGCAGUGAGGGCACUGAGGUGCAGUGAGGACACUGAGGUGCAGUGAGGACACUGAGCUGCAGUGAGGACACU